rnacentral:rRNA from 1 species
CAGCAGCCGCGGUAAUACGAAGGGGGCUAGCGUUGUUCGGAAUUACUGGGCGUAAAGGGCGCGUAGGCGGCCAUUCAAGUUAGAUGUGAAAGCCCUGGGCUCAACCUAGGAAUUGCAUUUGAUACUGUUUGGCUUGAGUUCGGGAGAGGUGAGUGGAAUUCCCAGUGUAGAGGUGAAAUUCGUAGAUAUUGGGAAGAACACCAGUGGCGAAGGCGGCUCACUGGACCGACACUGACGCUGAGGCGCGAAAGCGUGGGGAGCAAACAGGAUUAGAUACCCCCGUAGUCCCUGUCUCUUAUAC